UAUAGAUAGGAGAAUGGGGAACACCCAGGAAUGUUUAGCUAACUCGCCUGCAACAUUCAAGCGCGUGUGUCAAAGGUGUUUGCGGGGUGUUGACACCUCCACAUAGAGAGGUAGUAAGGUGAAUGACAUCACCAGUGGGCUGCUUGUGAUGAGUACUCCGUGUGUUUCACGGACCCAACGAAAAAAGGCACAACACUCAGAAAUAUCCCAAAACUAGGCUGUCUUGCAGUACUCAGCAGUGGGCUCCAAAAUGCUGAAAUACAAUGUUGAAAUGUCUAUUUCACUUUCGCGGCUCCUCCCAUUGUAGAAGAGGGAUCAGGCGUUAUCCCCCACCCUAACCCCCGCCCGCUGUUUAUCGAAGAGAGAGGGAUUCAAGACUUAAACGACAGCACAUGCUAAGGUGAACCUUAGCCACCGAGACACACAGGCGAUAACCCAUUCAAUCAAACAACAACAUCAUGGCAGGCAGUAUGUAGGCAGAUAAAUGACGAUACAGUACGGUGUUCAAUGGGAAUUAAAAGUAUAGGGCAGCUGGGCUCUUAUCUGGCCAGAGCGAUGAAACCCGGCAACAAAGGGAGGCCUAAGACUAAGAGGCUUGAUGCAUGGGAAAGCCAUCGGCCAGCCAUUGUGGCUGCCCUUCUGCUGAGCAAAUAGUCCAAACUGUUCAUUCCCCAUCUCCCAUUCUCUCUGAGGUACAUUGUUUGUGUCCUUGCAUUUCAUUCUGACUGGGGAAGAUUGCUCUCAGGGCCAGUGAGCAAACAGUCCAGAAAAGAGCCGGCUAUCUCCUGACGUUCCCAGGAGAACUAGCAUUUUUAUUUCAGCUCCAAGCUGUCAAAGGAUUGGAGAGUUUGUGUCAGGAUCCUGAAUUAAUUGCUUUAAGCUGUGUGCGUGGGGGGGGACUGCAUUUUAUCACCAAAUGUUCAGUAAAAUGUUUCCUAGCAAUUAUGCACCCCUGCCCUGCAACGUAGGCUUUCAGUCACCAAACAUUUGGUGUUGGAUACAUACAGGAUGGAUUUCUGAAACUCAAAUGAUGCAUUUAGCUGUAAUGGCAGCACAAUGGUAUGAAUAGUGACAGGCCAGCGUCUGUCAAGGAUUUGUUGGUAUGGGAGUGAAUUGAAAAGUUUGUUCUUUUUUCUAUAAUAAUGAUAGGUACACGAGCCAGGCUUGGCAGAGAAUUGACCAAGCUUCCUCCAUAAAGUAUAUCUGGUCAGACAUUUGGUGGAACGGGAUAUAGAGUCUGGAACCUCUGACAGAACAGCUAACGUGAACUUAGAACCAUCUGUCACUCACAAAAUCAUCCCAAAUCACCGCUUACUUAGCAGCUAUAUAUUAGACAUUUUGGAUAUGUGACACUGCCAUAUCUGUUAGCUAACUACGCGCAGCUUCUAAUGCCAGAGACACCAAACCAGACAACUGUUCCUAUUUUGCCCUACCAAUUUGUCUAUCAUUAGAAAUAUCUUGAAUUAUGGUACAAAUGUCAUACAACGCCACACUGAUUAUGGCAACAAAAUUGUACGAUCGUUGAUUUUAUAGUUCAAGUCUAAUCAUGAAAACUAAAACAUACUCUUAUUCAAACCUGGUAUGCAUUUGCAUCUUAAACGCAUUAGCAAUAUUUGACUGUACCACAUGAUACUAUAGCAUUUGUAUGGAUUAGUUGUUUAGAAACUAUUAUCAAUCAGCUCACUGCCUCAAAGAGUUCAUCAUUUAAGUAAUGCUUUGCUUUGCAUGUUAACCCCACCUGAAAUUUGCAUCAAUAUAGUAACGCAACAGUCUCUGGAAUAAUGACCUCAAACAAGUCCAAACACACAGCUGCAGUAACUGUAACCAAUAUUUUCCAGAACAAUAUCAAAGGUGUGUUGCAACAACACACUGAAGAAACCAGAAAUAACAUUGCAUCCAUACAUUUUUUUUCUCUCUCUUUUGGUAUAAUCUGUUCAAUGCCACUAUUGCACAUGGGAAAAUAAAGGUAUCUGAUCAUGACACA
rnacentral:lncRNA from 1 species